rnacentral:rRNA from 1 species
GGCAUGGCGGCAGCUAACACAUGCAGUCGAACGGUAACAGGAAGCAGCUUGCUGCUUCGCUGACGAGUGGCGGACGGGUGAGUAAUGUCUGGGAAACUGCCUGAUGGAGGGGGAUAACUACUGGAAACGGUAGCUAAUACCGCAUAAUGUCGCAAGACCAAAGAGGGGGACCUUCGGGCCUCUUGCCAUCGGAUGUGCCCAGAUGGGAUUAGCUAGUAGGUGGGGUAACGGCUCACCUAGGCGACGAUCCCUAGCUGGUCUGAGAGGAUGACCAGCCACACUGGAACUGAGACACGGUCCAGACUCCUACGGGAGGCAGCAGUGGGGAAUAUUGCACAAUGGGCGCAAGCCUGAUGCAGCCAUGCCGCGUGUAUGAAGAAUGCCUUCGGGUUGU